CGCCUUGCCAGCCCGCUCAGAAACUCAAAGGAAUUGACGGGGGCCCGCACAAGCGGAGGAACAUGUGGUUUAAUUCGAUGAUACGCGAGGAACUUACCUGGGCUAGAACGCAAUCGGAAUCAGGCCGAAAGGCCUGCGCCAGCGAUGGCCGGUUGCGAGGUGCUGCAUGGUUGUCGUCAGCUCGUGCCGUGAGGUGUCGGGUUAAGUCCCAUAACGAGCGCAACCCCUACUGCUAGUUGCCAGCGGGUCAUGCCGGGGACUCUAGCGGAACUGCCAGCGUAAGCUGCGAGGAAGGUGGGGAUGACGUCAAAUCAGCACGGCCCUUACGUCCAGGGCUACACACGUGUUACAAUGGCCAGUACAGAGGGCAGCCACCCCGCGAGGGGGCGCUAAUCCUAAAAGCUGGUCCCAGUUCGGAUCGGAGUCUGCAACCCGACUCCGUGAAGCUGGAUUCGCUAGUAAUCGCGCAUCAGCCACGGCGCGGUGAAUACGUUCCCGGGCCUU
rnacentral:rRNA from 1 species